UGUCCAUCUGAAGAUGGUCUCUGAAGACCGAAACAUUAUUCUGCUCAGUGAUGGACAUCUGACCAAACAUCUUUAGAGGAGACAACAGUGAAAUAAAGUUGUUGAAACAAGAGCUUUAUCAUAAUGUUUAUGAUGAUUUUCAGUGGGGGAAUCCCAGUCAUAUUGUUUGUGACUUACAUUUAAGGAUUACCUUGUAUAAUCAUAUAUGUAAUGCAUGUGACCAAAUGAAAUGCAAUGAAUGAA